rnacentral:rRNA from 1 species
CUACGUAGGGUGCAAGGCGUUGUCCGGAAUUAUUGGGCGUAAAGAGCUCUGGUAGGCGGUCUGUUGCGUCGGGCUGUGAAAACCCGGGGCUCAACCUGGGGGCUUGCAGUGGGUACGGGCAGACUAAGAGUGCGGUAGGGGUGACUGGAAUUCCUGGUGUAGCGGUGGAAUGCGCAGAUAGUCAAGGAGGAACACCGAUGGCGAAGGCAGGUCACUGGGCCGCAACUGACGCUGAGGAGCGAAAGCAUGGGGAGCGAACAG